rnacentral:ncRNA from 1 species
CAACAAAAUAAGAAUAUAGGUGCCUCUUUUACAGGGGAUAAAAGGGAAGUACGGUUAAAAUCCGUCGCAGCCCCCGCUACUGUAUGCAUGGACGAAACCUCAGUAUCCACCAUUUAUUUGGGAAGGUGAGGAAGUAGGUUGAUAUGCGAGCCAGGAAACCUGCCUAUAUUCACAGAACAAC